UUGCAUGAGCGUUCUUUCUCCAGCGGCUGACAGCAUCCCGUCGUCCUCACGCCGCUGCUGCUCUCCACACAUUUCCACAAGGUCAGUCUUCAAACUUCUUCUUUUGCCAAAUCAUUUCAACUUGGUUCGCCAACUUUUAACACGAAUUCAUGUUUUCGGCGUGCCAAUCAAACUAGCUAGCAUGCGUACGAACGUUUGCUUGAAUGAAGUUAAAUAACGUCAAGUGCCUGCUAAAAUGACACAAAAGCAUUUAUUUGACUUGUAUGGCAACAAAUAAAUGCAUUGCACUUGAUCAUGAAAGUAUUGGCUCCAACCCUUUCCAACAUCUAGAGAAGAGCGCCGUUUGGUGGGAGGUAGGUUGCCGUAUUCUCAAUUAAACAGUUCAUCAACUAUACCUAUAUGUAUGUGUGUAUUAAUAAUUGUCUAAUUUCUGUCCACAGGCUUCCAUCUCAAACGGCCAAAUUGAUUCUAAAAUAUCUACUUCAAAGAGACUUUUUGUAUUUUUUACAGCAUAUUUGAGACUUUAGUUGCAGCUCUACUGUAUAGACAUGGUUACCAAAUGUCAUGUUGCUAAUUGUGUUACUGUGUCUUUCUUUCUUGUUAAGCGGCCCAUUGUGUCCAGCUCAAUUUCUAAAAAGCAUUCUGCUUUUUAGAAAUUCUGGCCUAAGUUUGCCAUUUUCCUCCUGCAUGCUCAUCUGCGUUAAAGACAAUCUUCUGAAGGAGGUUAAGGACACCUGAGAUGACUUUCAACAACCAAUCCUGACAUUCUGCUUUUGUGUGCAGUCUUGACAUCCUUUUGACUUCAUCCAGCGCUGCGUGAGUAACAAGAUUGUGUACGAGGCUGACCGUCACCAAAUCCGCUGGGUUUGACAUGCUGCAAAACAAAAUGAUCGCCAUGAACAUUUUUAAACAUGUCUCUUCCUCAGUUCCACCAAAGCUUCCGUCAAUCACUUGCUUACUUACUCUGCAUGCAGGGUGGCUUCCAGAACAAGCUCCAUCGUGGAGGAGAAGCACCCUGGCCCCCAAGAUCCUGCACUUGCUGGGGAAAACAGUUCUACAUGACUGUGCAGGUGGUCCUCAAUGCUGUUAAAACUUGAAAAUAAACUCACUAAUUAGCAGUUUGACUGUCCAUCUUGUGUUCAGUUUUCUGUGUUCUUGUUCUUCCCGAGCCUGAGGAACAUGUUCAACUUCCUGUGAGUGCUCGUUGUCGCAGGAAAAACUUGGUCUCAAAAACAUAAUUUCACAAAACUCAUUGGGUUAAUGUUUGACUCUGUUUCUUCGGGGACGUCACGACACAUCUGUCGCCGUGCUCGUCACGCUGGCUAUGGUGACUGUCAUCAGCAACAAGGAAACUGUCAUUCCGGCUUCAGUGGGUUCAAGUGCAACUUUUCUAAUCUGCAAGAAAUUAAUGCAAAUUACAACGAAAGUGUUGAUUGUUGAUCUCUCUCUUUUCUUACUCUGCAUGUUGUCGCCUCUUCCUCAGCUGGAUGACCACAUCAGGUUCUGAAGCCAAACUGUGGAGCAGCCUGAGAAGGCCACUCUGUGAAUACAGGUCACAAUGUUGAUCAAAUGUUCUUCCCUUCAUGCUCAGCUUCCUGUGAAUGCAGCCAUGUGAGCACUUGGACGAAGUCCCAGGCAGCAACAAGUCGCAGCCUCUUCAUUGCUGGCAAUCUUCUGAAGGAGGGUAAGGACACCUGAGAUGACUUGCAGCAACCAGUCCUGACAUCCUGCUUUUUGUGUGCAGUCUUGACAGCCUCUGACGUCAUCCAGAGCUGCGAGAGGAACAAGGGUGGCUUGCAAUUCAGGCCUUCCACUCAUCCUGGUGCUUGCCUCUUCAAAAGCUGAAGGACAGUAAACCAGAAGGUGAUGAAAGAAGUGGGGGAUGAAUUUGAGGAGCAGAAAUUUGUGCUGCCGGCUGACGAACAUGUACAACCUCCUGGAGGUCACGAGACCUUGGUCAACAUGCUCGUCACGCUGGCUAUGGUGACUGUCAUCAACAACGAGGAAACCGUCAUGCUGGCCUGGAAGACCACAUCAGAAGGUGCUGAAGCCAAACCGUGGAGCAGCCAGAGAGCUUCCUGUGAAUGCAGCCAUGUGAGCACUUGGACGAAGUCCCAGGCAGCAACAAGUCACAUCCUCUUCAUUGCUGUCUUGACGGCCUCUUGUUGACGUCGUGCAGAGCUGUGAGAGGAACAAGAUGUACGAGGCUCGCCUGUCGCCACGUUUGCUGGGUUUGACACGCUGCAAAACAAAGAUUGCCUUAAACAUUUUAACAUCUUUCUCUUCUGCAGUUUGAAGAGGGCUCACCUGUUUGUUUUUUUGACUCUGCGUGCAGGGCGGCUUCCAGAACAAGAGCCAUCAUGGAGAAGCACCCUGGCCCCCCCAAGAUCCUGCACCUGCUGGGCAAAAGCAAGUUGUAAAUGAAUGUGCAGAAGGUCCUAAAUGCUGUUGAGACUUGAUUAGCAGUGUGACUGGUCCAUCUUGUUUAGUUUUGUCAAAUGUUUGUUCUUCCAGAGACUGAGGAACAUGUUCAACUUCCUGGAACUCACAACACGCUGACUGUGAUGACGGUCAUCAGCAACGAGGAAAGUCAUUCCACCUUUAGUGGACUCGGGUGAAACAUUUUUAAUGAUCUGCAGGGGAAAUUAAUGCCAAUUUACAAGUAUUUAUUGUUGUUCUUGCGCUGCAUGUCUUCCUCAGCUGGAAGACCACAUCAGAAGGUGCUGAAGCCAAACUGUGGAGUGGCCAGAGAGUUUGGGGACAAGUUUGACGCCAUGUGAGCACUUGGAUGAAGUCCCAGGCAGCAACAAGUCACAUCUUCAUUGCUGGUACUCUUCUGAAGGAGGGUAAGGGACACCUGAGAUGACUGGCAGCAACCACUCCUCACAUGUCUUGACAGCCAUCCAGAGCAGCGAGAAGAACAAGAUGCACGAGGGGUCCUCAAUGAGAACAAAGUGGUGGUGGGGGAAAUGGCAUCAUGAUCAACUUCCUGUCCACCAUGCUGAGAUGUAAGCUGCAAACCGACUCUGCAUGCAGGCUGGCUUCCGGUCCAGGCCUUCCUCUCAUUCUGGCACCCUCCUCUUCCUCAGCUGAAGGACAUCAUCCAGAAGGGUAAGGAACAUGUUCAGCUUCCUGCAAGGCCUCAGUCGCUGAAAAAAACAAGUUGCACAUCCUUUCCUUGGUCACGACACACCGGUCCACGCUCUCCUCACGAUGACCGGUGACGAUCAACAGCAGUCAGUGACUGCCUGGUGAAGUGGACCUGUCAUCAAACACUGAAGUUGAAGCUUUUAACGGCUGAGGAACAUGUUCAGCUUCCUGCAAGGGCUCAGUCGCACAUCCUUUCCUUGAAACACCGGUCCACGCUCUCCUCACGAUGACCAGUGACGAUCAACAGCGACGAGGAAACUGUCAGUGACUGCCUGGUGAAGUGGACCUGUCAUCCAACACUGAAGUUGAAGCUUUUAACGGCUGAGGAACAUGUUCAGCUUCCUGCAAGGGCGCAGUCGCACAUCCUUUCCUUGAAACACCGGUCCACGCUCUCCUCACGAUGACCAGUGACGAGGAAACUGUCAGUGACUGCCUGGUGAAGUGGACCUGUCAUCCAACACUGACGUUGAAGCUUUUAACGGUGCUGGGGAACAUGGUCAGUGUCCUGGCAAUGCAGCUGUACAAGCACUUGGACAGUCCCAGAAAACAAAUUUCACACCCUUUUCAUCACUGGUCCGCACGCUGGUCUGCAAUCGCUUCCCACUGGCCGACGACUUCACCAGGCAGUGACAAGAAGACUAUCAUCAUCCAACAUGUAAG